UGUAGCUCCUGUCAAAAUGACAUUUGAAAUAUAUGCAACAUGUGUAAUACCUAUAAGUGCAUUCUUUGCAUCAAGUCUUUGGUUUGGCAACACUGCAUAUUUGCAUAUAUAUGUAGUUUUUAUCCAGAUGCUCAAAGCUCUA